rnacentral:rRNA from 1 species
GAUGAACGCUGGCGGCGUGCCUAAUACAUGCAAGACGAGCGAACGGACGAGAAGCUUGCUUCUCUGAUGUUAGCGGCGGACGGGUGAGUAACACGUGGAUAACCUACCUAUAAGACUGGGAUAACUUCGGGAAACCGGAGCUAAUACCGGAUGAUAUUUUGAACCGCAUGGUUCAAAAGUGAAAGACGGUCUUGCUGUCACUUAUAGAUGGAUCCGCGCUGCAUUAGCUAGUUGGUAAGGUAACGGCUUACCAAGGCAACGAUGCAUAGCCGACCUGAGAGGGUGAUCGGCCACACUGGAACUGAGACACGGUCCAGACUCCUACGGGAGGCAGCAGUAGGGAAUCUUCCGCAAUGGGCGAAAGCCUGACGGAGCAACGCCGCGUGAGUGAUGAAGGUCUUCGGAUCGUAAAACUCUGUUAUUAGGGAAGAACAUAUGUGUAAGUAACUGUGCACAUCUUGACGGUACCUAAUCAGAAAGCCACGGCUAACUACGUG